rnacentral:tRNA from 1 species
UGCAUCGCCCGGGAAUCGAACCCAGGACGCCCGCGUGGCAGGCGAGCCUUCUACCACUGAACCACCGAAGG